rnacentral:rRNA from 1 species
GACAUAGGUCGCAAACGUUAUCCGGAAUUACUGGGCGUAAAGGGCUCGUAGGCGGCCAACUAAGUCAGACGUGAAAUCCCUCGGCUUAACCGGGGAACUGCAUCUGAUACUGGAUGGCUUGAGUUCGGGAGAGGGAUGCGGAAUUCCAGGUGUAGCGGUGAAAUGCGUAGAUAUCUGGAGGAACACCGGUGGCGAAGGCGGCAUCCUGGACCGGCACUGACGCUGAGGAGCGAAAGCCAGGGGAGCAAACGGG